rnacentral:tRNA from 1 species
GCCGGCGUAGCUCAGUGGUAGAGCGGAGUCUUCAUAAGACUAAGAUCGCAGGUUCGAUCCCUGCCGCCGGCA